rnacentral:misc_RNA from 1 species
GAGAGAGAGAGAGAGAGAAAUUUAAUGGAGGUUUGUAACAAUAUGGAUAACCUCAAUUCCAAUUGCCUAGACACUUUUAUUCCUCCAUACUUGAAAAAUUGAGACUUAUUCAAAAAGCAACUUACCAUGAUGUGCUUCUUUCCUAUUAUAACAGUGUACUUGUUAUAAAAGUACAAGCUAAUACACAUUAGUCCACCCAAAAUUGCUGCCAAGCAUUUAUUUUUGACCUCUCCCUCUCAAAUUUAGUACCCAUCAACAAUAUGGUACAACACACCGAGUACAUGACAGUACUAGUAUGAUACCAUAUUACAGUAUAAAAAGUAGGCUUAGCAUACUUAUUAGUAGCUAAGCAGUCCCUCAUUUGCAUUUAGUCAAACCAGAAUGAUUCCUACCAAAACCAUGCAAAUGCACAUUCAGUCAAUCAUAGAUAUGCAUUGCACUGCAAACAUUUCCCAACACAUGCUUCAACACAGCAACACACCUAUUAACCUGUUUUCAUUUGUAAAGAUUAAAAUUCUCUCUCUCUCUGAUGGGCACCAUGGCAGGGAAAAUUGUGCUGAUUGACAAUAGCCAGUACACAAGGGGACAUGUUACCUAUAAAACGCAUUUAAUUUGGAACAAGAGGACUACAUUUUUGCAACCUAGGGGAAAUGUUGCCCACACCAGGAUAAAAAAAAAAAAAAAAGAGGGAGAGAAAUUAAAAUCAUCCCAACUUUAAUCUGAGUAUUUCAGAUGCAUGCUACACCUCUACUGGGGACUUCAGAAUGAAAAUUUCUUAGGGCUAAUGACCAAAAAAGGGUGUCCCAUUGGAUGAGGCUUCUCACUCUGUGGACUAUGGACGUAAGCAGCCUUCCCCUUGCACUAAUCUGAGUAUUUCCUUGCUUUGUAAUUGUGACCCCCAAGACACACUGGAGCAGCAUUACCAUUGCAUCAAACCUCACCCUCCUGGGAGGCACUAAUAGCUAUAUGAAAUUUAUAUUUUUGUAGCAAUAAAUUAACAGCUUGGCAUUAUAGGUCAUAAUGGCAACAUGGAAAAAUUAUUAAUCCUAGAAAAAAAAUUUAUAUUAACAUACACACCUUAAACAUUCCUUCAAGUUUGU